CAUUGCUAUCGGAGUCCGAUUUAGUCAUGCUAGUUGUGCGGGUUUAGACCCGCAGCGGAAAGCUCAGUAACACGUGGCCAAACUACCCUGUGGAUGGGAACAAUCUCGGGAAACUGAGGCUAAUUCCCAAUAACGCUCCACCCCUGGAACGGGCGGAGCUGGAAACGCUACGGCGCCACAGGAUGUGGCUGCGGUCGAUUAGGUAGACGGUGGGGUAACGGCCCACCGUGCCAAUAAUCGGUACGGGUUGUGAGAGCAAGAGCCCGGAGACGGAAUCUGAGACAAGAUUCCGGGCCCUACGGGGCGCAGCAGGCGCGAAACCUUUACACUGUACGCAAGUGCGAUAAGGGGACUCCGAGUGUGAAGGCAUAGAGCCUUCACUUUUGUACACCGUAAGGUGGUGUACGAAUAAGGGCUGGGCAAGACCGGUGCCAGCCGCCGCGGUAAUACCGGCAGCCCGAGUGAUGGCCGAUAUUAUUGGGCCUAAAGCGUCCGUAGCUGGCCGGACAAGUCCGUUGGGAAAUCUGUUCGCUUAACGAGCAGGCGUCCAGCGGAAACUGUUCGGCUUGGGACCGGAAGACCUGAGGGGUACGUCCGGGGUAGGAGUGAAAUCCUGUAAUCCUGGACGGACCACCGGUGGCGAAAGCGCCUCAGGAGGACGGAUCCGACAGUGAGGGACGAAAGCUAGGGUCUCGAACCGGAUUAGAUACCCGGGUAGUCCUAGCUGUAAACGAUGCCCGCUAGGUGUGGCGCAGGCUACGAGCCUGCGCUGUGCCGUAGGGAAGCCGAGAAGCGGGCCGCCUGGGAAGUACGUCUGCAAGGAUGAAACUAAAGG
rnacentral:rRNA from 1 species